rnacentral:rRNA from 1 species
AUGAACGCUGGCGGCGUGCCUAAUACAUGCCAGUCGAGCGAACGGACGAGAAGCUUGCUUCUCUGAUGUUAGCGGCGGACGGGUGAGUAACACGUGGAUAACCUACCUAUAAGACUGGGAUAACUUCGGGAAACCGGAGCUAAUACCGGAUGAUAUUUUGAACCGCAUGGUUCAAAAGUGAAAGACGGUCUUGCUGUCACUUAUAGAUGGAUCCGCGCUGCAUUAGCUAGUUGGUAAGGUAACGGCUUACCAAGGCAACGAUGCAUAGCCGACCUGAGAGGGUGAUCGGCCACACUGGAACUGAGACACGGUCCAGACUCCUACGGGAGGCAGCAGUAGGGAAUCUUCCGCAAUGGGCGAAAGCCUGACGGAGCAACGCCGCGUGAGUGAUGAAGGUCUUCGGAUCGUAAAACUCUGUCAUUAGGGAAGAACAUAUGUGUAAGUAACUGUGCACAUCUUGACGGUACCUAAUCAGAAAGCCACGGCUAACUACGUG